GACGAAUGCUGGCGGCGUGCUUAACACAUGCAAGUCGAACGGAAAGGCCCUGCUUUUGUGGGGUGCUCGAGUGGCGAACGGGUGAGUAACACGUGAGUAACCUGCCCUUGACUUUGGGAUAACUUCAGGAAACUGGGGCUAAUACCGGAUAGGAGCUCCUGCUGCAUGGUGGGGGUUGGAAAGUUUCGGCGGUUGGGGAUGGACUCGCGGCUUAUCAGCUUGUUGGUGGGGUAGUGGCUUACCAAGGCUUUGACGGGUAGCCGGCCUGAGAGGGUGACCGGCCACAUUGGGACUGAGAGACGGCCCAGACUCCUACGGGAGGCAGCAGUGGGGAAUAUUGCACAAUGGGCGGAAGCCUGAUGCAGCAACGCCGCGUGCGGGAUGACGGCCUUCGGGUUGUAAACCGCUUUCGCCUGUGACGAAGCGUGAGUGACGGUAAUGGGUAAAGAAGCACCGGCUAACUACGUG
rnacentral:rRNA from 1 species